rfam:Gossypium hirsutum cultivar TM-1 chromosome 19, whole genome shotgun sequence
UGUUAAAAAUUUCAUCCAUUUUUAAUGUGAAAAACUAGCGUGGCAGAUGGAAUAACCAGAGAGUUACACAUAUGUGUACCUCAUUUUGACAUACAACGGCCAAUUUUUAAUAGAAGAAAUUGAUGAAAUUUUUAACA